rnacentral:rRNA from 1 species
UACGUAGGGUGCAAGCGUUGUCCGGAAUUAUUGGGCGUAAAGAGCUCGUAGGCGGUUUGUCGCGUCUGCUGUGAAAUCUGGGGGCUCAACCCCCAGCCUGCAGUGGGUACGGGCAGACUAGAGUGCGGUAGGGGAGAUUGGAAUUCCUGGUGUAGCGGUGGAAUGCGCAGAUAUCAGGAGGAACACCGAUGGCGAAGGCAGAUCUCUGGGCCGUAACUGACGCUGAGGAGCGAAAGCAUGGGGAGCGAAGCAGG